GGCUCAGGAUGAACGCUGGCGGCGUGCUUAACACAUGCAAGUCGAACGGUGAAGCAGAGCUUGCUCUGUGGAUCAGUGGCGAACGGGUGAGUAACACGUGAGCAACCUGCCCCUGACUCUGGGAUAAGCGCUGGAAACGGCGUCUAAUACCGGAUAUGAGCUGCGAUCGCAUGGUCAGCAGUUGGAAAGAUUUUUCGGUCUGGGAUGGGCUCACGGCCUAUCAGCUUGUUGGUGAGGUAAUGGCUCACCAAGGCGUCGACGGGUAGCCGGCCUGAGAGGGUGACCGGCCACACUGGGACUGAGACACGGCCCAGACUCCUACGGGAGGCAGCAGUGGGGAAUAUUGCACAAUGGGCGAAAGCCUGAUGCAGCAACGCCGCGUGAGGGAUGACGGCCUUCGGGUUGUAAACCUCUUUUAGCAGGGAAGAAGCGAAAGUGACGGUACCUGCAGAAAAAGCGCCGGCUAACUACGUGCCAGCAGCCGCGGUAAUACGUAGGGCGCAAGCGUUAUCCGGAAUUAUUGGGCGUAAAGAGCUCGUAGGCGGUUUGUCGCGUCUGCUGUGAAAUCCCGAGGCUCAACCUCGGGUCUGCAGUGGGUACGGGCAGACUAGAGUGCGGUAGGGGAGAUUGGAAUUCCUGGUGUAGCGGUGGAAUGCGCAGAUAUCAGGAGGAACACCGAUGGCGAAGGCAGAUCUCUGGGCCGUUACUGACGCUGAGGAGCGAAAGGGUGGGGAGCAAACAGGCUUAGAUACCCUGGUAGUCCACCCCGUAAACGUUGGGAACUAGUUGUGGGGUCCAUUCCACGGAUUCCGUGACGCAGCUAACGCAUUAA
rnacentral:rRNA from 1 species